ACUUACGGCAACACCGGCCUGAGUACGCCUGAUCUCGUCCGAUCUCAGAAGCUAAGCAGGGUCGGGCCUGGUUAGUACUUGGAUGGGAGACCGCCUGGGAAUACCAGGUGCUGUAAGCU
rnacentral:rRNA from 1 species